GAUGAACGCUGGCGGCAUGCCUAACACAUGCAAGUCGAGCGGUCACACGAAAAAGUUUCUUCUUUUACGUUAGCGGCGCGGGGGGGAGUAAAAUGUGGAUGAAAUACCUUUAUGACUGGGGUAACCUCGGGAAAACGGUGGCUAAUACCGCAAAUAUUUUCAACAGCAAGAAUGAGAACUUUCAGGCGGUCUUGCUGUCGCUUAUCGCUGGUUCCAGAUUGCAUUAGCUAGUAGGUAGGGUAACGGCUUACCUAGGCGACGAUCCCUAGCUGAUCUGAGAGGAUGACCAGCCACACUGGAACUGAGACACGGUCCAGACUCCUACGGGAGGCAGCAGUGGGGAAUAUUGCACAAUGGGCGCAAGCCUGAUGCAGCCAUGCCGCGUGUAUGAAGAAGGCCUUCGGGUUGUAAAGCACUUUCAGCGGGGAGGAAGGGAGUAAAGUUAAUACCUGUGCUCAUUGACGUUACCCGCAGAAGAAGCACCGGCUAACUACGUG
rnacentral:rRNA from 1 species